GGGAUUCAGAGGAGAGAGCCUAUUAAUGGUGUGACCCGUAAGCUCAAUCUACUCUGCUUCCCAAACACCACAGCCCCCGCACCACACCUCCUCCUUCCACUACACCUCUGAACCACUCAGAAUAAGAGCUCAUCGGAGACACAACCAAAUCACACGCGAGUCAACUGCGCAAAGCAGCCAGCUAGCCAUGGGCAAGGACUGCGGCAACCACGGCGACGACCACCUCCGGAACGGCUGCCGGCGCCUCCUGGCCGUGCUCCUGGUCCUGGCCUUCAUCGUCGCCAUCAUCACCCUCAUCGUCUACUUGGUGCUCCGCCCCACCCACCCGCGCUUUUUCCUCCAGGACGCCUCCCUCCGGCAGCUCAACCUCUCCAACUCCUCGGGCCUCCUCUCCACCUCCCUCCAGGUCACCGUAGCCUCCCGCAACCCCAACGACCGCGUCGGUGUCUACUACGACCGCCUCGACGUCUACGCCUCCUACAAGUACCAGCAGAUCACCGUCGCCGCCUCGCUCCCGGCGGUCUACCAGGGCCACGGCGACGUCGACGUAUGGUCACCAGUGCUCGACGGGCCCAACGUGCCCUUCGCGCCGUACCUCGCCAGCGCCAUCUCCCAGGACUGCCAGGCUGGCUACCUCAUCCUCCAGGUCAAGAUCGACGGCCGCGUCAGGUGGAAGGUCGGCAGCUGGAUCUCUGGCCACUACCACCUCUUCGUCACCUGCCCGGCCUUCCUCGUCACCAGCGGCGGCAACGGCGCACCAGGGGCUAGCGGGUUCAAGUUCCAGACGACCACUUACUGCCACGUAGAGGUCUAGUUUUAUCACAGCUAGCUCCGGCGGUCCAGUCGCCGGCGAGAGGUAGGUUUCUUCUUGGCUUGUAUACCAUAGUGACCGCAGAGGCACAGAUCGGUGGCAAUAAUUACACUAUUAUAUGUGGGGUUAUAAGUGUAAAGCAGGGGUGCAUGGUUUACCAUUUACUCCUCCGUUCAAAAAUUCUUGUGUUACAUUUGUGUAGAUACGGAUGGAGUACUUUCCAUUGAUAAUCAUGGGGCAAUGCACAUGACUUGUUUCAUAACUGUAGUAGUACUGUACUAGAAUUUUGGAGUUCUGUUUGGUGGUUUGGUGUCAACAACCAGAUCGUAGGCAGCUCUCCCAUGGUCUGUGAUUUGGUGAAGCUUCGGAGAAAGUACAAAUGGGGACUCUGUGUUUCUGAUCCCAUGUCCAAGAACAAAAGGUAGUUGGAUAGUCCCUCUCACUCACAUGGAGUUUGAUCAUAUGAAACAUUGGGAACACAAAUGUUAGUUUGCGGAAACCGUUUUGUUUCUUUAAUCCCUAUAUGUGCCAAUUGCCAAUGAUACGCUGGCAUCCACAUGUGGAAGCAUAUGUUCUUGGUAAAAAAAAUUGUUGUAUGAACUUUGACUUUGCAAUCAGUGUUUGACAGCCGAACAAUUACAGUCGGUAUGUAGGUUUACAUCAGGUCAUGGAACUGAAUUUACACAUGCGACUUUCUGAAAAGAUUGCAGAAUAUAUUACUUGGAGUCGCCAUCUUUCUUGUAAAGGACUGUAUUUUCUUUCUGAAGUUUCCAUGAAUGGCUUUACACGACAGAUGCUGAGAUAGUGGCUUCUUUUUGGGUGUGGCCCAUGUUCCGUCGAAAUGAUAAGGAUUCACUUGCUUUGGGGGAGAGAAGGAAACAUGUGCCUUUCGGCAGCAAAUUAAUGCAGC
rnacentral:rRNA from 1 species